rnacentral:rRNA from 1 species
UACGGAAGGCAGCAGUGGGGAAUAUUGCACAAUGGGCGCAAGCCUGAUGCAGCCAUGCCGCGUGUAUGAAGAAGGCCUUCGGGUUGUAAAGUACUUUCAGUCGUGAGGAAGGUGUUAAGGUUAAUAACCUUAGCAAUUGACGUUAGCGACAGAAGAAGCACCGGCUAACUCCGUGCCAGCAGCCGCGGUAAUACGGAGGGUGCGAGCGUUAAUCGGAAUUACUGGGCGUAAAGGGCACGCAGGCGGUUAAUUAAGUUGGAUGUGAAAUCCCCGGGCUUAACCUGGGAAUGGCAUUCAAGACUGGUUAGCUAGAGUCUUGUAGAGGGGGUAGAAUUCCAUGUGUAGCGGUGAAAUGCGUAGAGAUGUGGAGGAAUACCGGUGGCGAAGGCGGCCCCUGGGACAAAGGACUGACGCUCAUGUGCGAAAGCGUGGGGAGCGAAACAGGGAUUAGAUA